rnacentral:rRNA from 1 species
UUGAACGCUGGCGGCAUGCUUUACCCCUGCCAGUCGAACGGUAACAGGCCUUCGGGUGCUGACGAGUGGCGAACGGGUGAGUAAUGCAUCGGAACGUACCCAGAGGUGGGGGAUAACGCAGCGAAAGCUGUGCUAAUACCGCAUGUGAUCUGAGGAUGAAAGCGGGGGACCGAGCAGCAAUGUUUGGCCUCGCGCCUUUGGAGCGGCCGAUGUCGGAUUAGCUAGUUGGUGGGGUAAAGGCCUACCAAGGCGACGAUCCGUAGCUGGUCUGAGAGGACGACCAGCCACACUGGAACUGAGACACGGCCCAGACUCCUACGGGAGGCAGCAGUGGGGAAUUUUGGACAAUGGGCGCAAGCCUGAUCCAGCAAUGCCGCGUGCGGGAAGAAGGCCUUCGGGUUGUAAACCGCUUUUGGCAGGAACGAAACGGUGUCCGCUAAUACCGGGCGCUAAUGACGGUACCUGCAGAAUAAGCACCGGCUAACUACGUG